AGUGAACGCUGGCGGUAGGCCUAACACAUUCAAGUCGAACGGCAGCACAGUAAGAGCUUGCUCUUACGGGUGGCGAGUGGCGGACGGGUGAGGAAUACAUCGGAAUCUACUUUUUCGUGGGGGAUAACGUAGGGAAACUUACGCUAAUACCGCAUACGACCUACGGGUGAAAGCAGGGGAUCUUCGGACCUUGCGCGAUUGAAUGAGCCGAUGUCGGAUUAGCUAGUUGGCGGGGUAAAGGCCCACCAAGGCGACGAUCCGUAGCUGGUCUGAGAGGAUGAUCAGCCACACUGGAACUGAGAAAGGGUCCCGACUCCUACGGGGAGACGCAGUGGGGAAUAUUGGGAAAUGGGGGGGAGCCGGAUCCAGCCAUACCGCGUGGGUGAAGAAGGCCUUCGGGUUGUAAAGCCCUUUUGUUGGGAAAGAAAAGCAGCAGGUUAAUACCCCGCUGUUCUGACGGUACCCAAAGAAUAAGCACCGGCUAACUUCGUG
rnacentral:rRNA from 1 species